rnacentral:rRNA from 1 species
UAAGCGGAGGAAAAGAAACUAACAAGGAUUCCCCUAGUAACGGCGAGUGAAGCGGGAAGAGCUCAAAUUUGAAAUCUGGUAGCCUUCGGUUGCCCGAGUUGUAAUCUAGAGAAGUGUUUUCCGUGCCGGCCCAUGUACAAGUCCCUUGGAACAGGGCGUCAUAGAGGGUGAGAAUCCCGUCCUUGACAUGGACCCCCGGUGCUUUGUGAUACACUUUCAACGAGUCGAGUUGUUUGGGAAUGCAGCUCAAAAUGGGUGGUGAAUUCCAUCUAAAGCUAAAUAUUGGCGAGAGACCGAUAGCGAACAAGUACCGUGAGGGAAAGAUGAAAAGCACUUUGGAAAGAGAGUUAAACAGUACGUGAAAUUGUUGAAAGGGAAACGAUUGAAGUCAGUCAUGCUCUUGGGACUUACCUCCCUUGAGUGGGGUCAACAUCAGUUUUGAUCGAUGGAUAAAGGCACGGGGAAGGUAGCACUCUCGGGUGAACUUAUAGCCUCGCGUCAUAUACAUUGAUUGGGACUGAGGAACGCAGCAUGCCUUUUGGCCGGGAUUCGUCCACGUACAUGCUUAGGAUGUUGACAUAAUGGCUUUAAACGACCCGUCUUGAAACACG